GUGUUGGUAGUGAAUGCUACAUAGAACCCUGUGUUUAUGUUUGUAUGCUUUAGGGAAUUCCUGCUUUCAAAACGGACUAAAAUCUGGAGUGAAGAAAAGGAGGAAUGUAAAUUGGUUUUGAGGAAAUAGUUGUGAAAGGAGAAUAUACCAGACAAUAAUGUGGUUUACAGUUCUACUUACUUUGAAAGGAAAACAGGUUAUACCAGGAUAAUUUCAUCAGUCUCAUUUCAGAUCAGAUUUGGAGUGGUUCUGUUUCAGUUUGUAUUUUAUAAAAGGAUGCAGAUUCUUAUUGCACUUAGAAUUUUCUUCCAAAUCCUUUGGUAUUUUUAUAAGUGAAAUUUUUUUUUCUCUAAGACCCAAAGGCCAUUAGAUUUUCCACCAGAGCAUUGCUCUUUAGAAUGACACUGUUUCUAGCUAUACCAGUGACUGGAAUUGACUGAUGACAUUUUUAUUGUUUAUGUCUGAUCAGGUAUUUCAUAGACCCCCCAUGUGAAACUUUGGAGUAAGCCUACUCAUGUUACCUAAAAUCUGAGGCGUUCAGAUCCUCCAGAAUGUCAGAUUGAGGAGUCUGAACCUAACUGCCUGGUGUGAAUGAUUGUGAUUACAUAUUUUUCCCACUAAAAUCUUCCUAAGUGCCCUUCUGUGAUCUAAUUGAAAACACUGUGGGUAAUUACAAAGUUGUUCAGAUGACUUAUUUUUUACUUUUCCAGGUUGCACCAUUACUCAGACUUCUAAAGAGACUAUUUGAAGUCCAGUUGAGUCACAAGAGAAGCCUGUCUUGAUAUAUCAUCUCAGAAACUUUCCUGAAUAUGUGAUAAUAUAUGGAAAAUGAUUUAUAGAUCCAGCUGUGCUUAAGAGCCAGUAAUGUCUUAAUAAACAUGUGGCAGCUUUUGUUUG
rnacentral:lncRNA from 1 species